GAAGGUAGCGUAAUCACUUGUUCUUUAAAUAAGGACUAGUAUGAAUGGCACCACGAGGGUUACACUGUCUCCUUUUUCUAAUCAGUGAAACUAAUCUCCCCGUGAAGAAGCUGGGAUUUUUUUAUAAGACGAGAAGACCCUAUGGAGCUUUAAACUAAUUAAUAUUUGCUGUCCACAUUUUACAUUUCAGAAACCUACAUAAAACAUAGCACUCUAAUUAAUAGUUUUCGAUUGGGGUGAUCACGGAGUAAAAAACAACCUCCGUGCCGAAAGGGGCCUAUUCCCCUGAGCAAAAAGCUACGACUUUAAGCACUAAAAAAUUAACGUUUAUUGACCCAAUAUAUUGAUCAACGAACCAAGUUACCCUAGGGAUAACAGCGCAAUCCACUUCAAGAGCUCCUAUCGACAAGUGGGUUUACGACCUCGAUGUUGGAUCAGGG
rnacentral:rRNA from 1 species